rnacentral:rRNA from 1 species
UACGUAGGGUGCAAGCGUUGUCCGGAAUUAUUGGGCGUAAAGAGCUCGUAGGCGGUCUGUCGCGUCUGCUGUGAAAACUCAGGGCUUAACCCUGAGCUUGCAGUGGGUACGGGCAGACUAGAGUGCGGUAGGGGAGACUGGAAUUCCUGGUGUAGCGGUGAAAUGCGCAGAUAUCAGGAGGAACACCGGUGGCGAAGGCGGGUCUCUGGGCCGUAACUGGACGCUGGAGGAGCGAAAGCAUGGGGAGCGAAACAGG